UACGUAGGUGGCAAGCGUUAUCCGGAAUUACUGGGCGUAAAGGGUGCGUCGGUGGUUUCUUAAGUCAGAGGUGAAAGGCUACGGCUCAACCGUAGUAAGCCUUUGAAACUGGGAAACUUGAGUGCAGGAGAGGAGAGUGGAAUUCCUAGUGUAGCGGUGAGAUGCGUAGAUAUUAGGAGGAACACCAGUUGCGAAGGCGGCUCUCUGGACUGUAACUGACACUGAGGCACGAAAGCGUGGGGAGCAAACAGGAUUAGAUACCCCGGUAGUCCCUGA
rnacentral:rRNA from 1 species